rnacentral:ncRNA from 2 species
UGACAUUCCUGGGGGCGCCAUUGCGAUGGCUGAGACUCCGCACUUUGUGCGGUAACCCUUCGAACCUGAUCCGGGUAAUGCCGGCGAAGGGAAGGAUAAAGCCUGCUUU